AUCACAACAACAUUUUACCAAAUAUAGAGUAUACCUAUUAGUGCAAAUUUCAAAAUAAUUGAUACAUUUGAUCAAGAAAUAAGUUUCAAUGUAUAUAAUCAUCAAUUCUCUCUUAGCCUUUGCAAUUGCAGCCAUGAUCAAAAUUGGGAAGAGAUCGGCCGGCCUUUGGAUGCAAAACAUGUUGUCUAUUAACAUAUGCUUGUAAGUAGUACCAAUUGGCUAAGCUUAAAAGAAAUCGGCUCUACUAGUGAUCAAUCCUGAUUGGCU
rnacentral:lncRNA from 1 species